CAGGGGUCGCUAUUAAGCGUUACGUCGGGUUAUUAGAUGAACAACACUACUAGAGUGCGGACAAUUUGACUACCUCUGACUACGAUCAACAAGGAAACAUCUAAAGUGCAUAGUGCAUCGAAGAAUUGAAGCUGAACUCAUUCCCUCUGGAGUAAAAGUGGCCAAUGAGAGAUCAAGCUGGGCGUUGAUGGCUGCGUCCGCCAACUCCGGGAAGCUGCUGAAGAACUUAGGGAUAAACUGGGCUGCCAGUCGCUUCUCUUUGGGCCCGCCUUUCACUCCAUCAAGGAUGACUUGGUCUGAGCGGGGGUCAAAAAUUCAGCAAAAUUGACCUCAAUCAAGCUUAUCUGCAGAUGCAUGUGGACAAAGAAUCCCGGGAGUGGCUGGCGAUUACCACGCACAAAGGACUUUUCAGAUAUUGUGGAUUACCUUUUCACAUCACGUCUGCUCCUGCUCUAUUUCAACGGGCCAUGGAUCAAAUUUUGAGUGGAUUGCCAGGAGUACAAUGUUACUUGGAUGACAUUCUCUGCACUGGUCUCAACGACGAGGAGCAUCUUCGCAACCUGGAUGGUGUCUUAAAAAGGCGAUUUGACAGUUCGGGGUCGUCCCAAAUUGCACUUUUCACUUGUGAAGACGAAAUUGGUUCAACAUUUCGGAAAUAGAAUAUGUCCACUGAGGUUGGUCAUGUUUAGUGACAGGAAGCGGCAACCUCCAAAGUCUAUCAGUGUUGCAAUGCAAAUCAGAUUUACGAUACUUGAUGUCGUAUGAUUGCUGGGGCCAACCCAGGACACGCUGGAGAGAUUAUAGCUCUCGGCUAGCCUGGGAACACCUUGGGAUUCUCCCAGAUGAGCUCGUGGAAGUGGCUGGGGAGAGGACUGUCUGGGCCUCUAUGCUGAGGCUGCUGCCCCCGCGACCCGGAUUCGGAUAAGCGGGAGACGAUGAUGACGAGAUGGUCUUGAUGACCUUGCUUUUCCCAAGUGGAUCCCGUCACUUUUGUACACCUUCUCUGGUACACAUUUUGCUUUAUAACUGCCAUUUAAUAAAAAUAGACAGUACA